rnacentral:lncRNA from 1 species
AUCUUCGACCUACAACAUAUAAAGGUCAUGCCUGUCUGCAACCAUUAAUGCUUGAAUUGGUGGCAUUUAUGGCAUUUAAUCAAACAUCCACCACCUUCAAAAUUUUCUUUUCAUUUUUUAAAUGAGAAAAAAAAAAAAAAACAAGUUCCUUAAAUGAUAAAAUACAUUGAAUAGACUAUAAUUAUUUUACCUUGUAGUGGAUAAAUAUAAAAUGUAUAUUUUUUUCAACAUUUAAAAUAAAAAUUAUAUGGGAUUCCAAUAUUUUCAAUUUAAAAAAAUUAAAUGUCUCUCAUGUUUGAUAUUAUUAAUGAUUAAAAUAUUCAAAUUUUAUAAAUAAUUUUUUAUAUUAUGUUAUUUAAUAUAUAAAAAUAAUUUUUAUAUAUCAUCAAUUAAUAUUAUUUUAUCAAUAUUUUUUUAUUUAUAAAUUUAAUAUAUAAUAAAAAAAUAUUUUAUAAAAAAAAAAAUAGAUAAUAUAUAUUACAUGGUGGGAUAUGAUAAGUUAUAAAAGUGAUUUCGGUGAUUACCAUUAUUAUUAUUAUUAUUAUUAAAGAAUUGGUAAAAAAAAUCCACAUAAGGGACGAGAAAUUGGGAGACCUUUUAGCCCCACAUGGAAAGAAGAAUGAAAAUUGUUGGCAAGACUUGGCUUGAAAGAGAGGGAAGGAAUGUGAAAAGAUUUUGGAAGCAUGCAUGUGAGAGAAUUAAGUGGUUUGAAGAACAUUUAGACAUUUAUUUAAAUAAUAAAUAAAUAUGAUAAAAAACAGCUUUACCUGCAGUCUUUUUAUCUUUAAAUUUUUAGAUAUUUUUAAAAUUUUAUUUUUGAUAUAAACUGAAAAUAUAAUUAAUAUUGGGGUCACACUUUCUUUCUUCAAUUUUGGUAUUAUUAUUUUUUUUUGACAAUUUAUUCAUUUAAAAAUAAUUAUUGAACUAAAAAAAUUUCAUUUUUGAAAGGUCAAUUCCAAAUAGAGGGUGAACAUUUGAUCAAAUGUUACACAAGUUAUGACACAUAGAGUCAUAGACAGAUGGUUUUGGAUGAAAGAAAAAGUAUGGAGCAUCUGACCACCUGUUUGCUUGACCAGAAAGUACAAAAGAAGAGAAAAGAAAAGAAAAGAAAAUGUAGUACAUAGGACAACUAGGAAUUGGGGUGGCAUGCCCUAAACAAGAGAGAGAGAGAGAGAGAGAGAGGUUUGAGCAUGGGGAUUAAUGAAAACUUUUGGAUUUAAUAAUAAGGACAGGAGACAUGGGUAGGAGUAAAAGAAUGGUGAUGAAACAUAGAGCAACUCAAAACUCAACUAUUAUAUUUGUAUAUUAUGAAGGCAAGUCUUUGCUUCCUAUGCACUCUAAGCAUGCAUUCCAAUUCCCAAUAUUAUUUGUCAAAAUCCCCCUUUCCACUUUAUUUUCCCCUAAAAGAUGCUUCUCUUACCCUUUGACUUCACCUCUCUGCUUGUUUUGUUUUUUUUUUUUCUUUCCUUUCACCUCACUUUCAAAAUUUUUAAUACAUUGAUUCGGAUUUUCCCAUACAUGAACUUUUUUUCAUUCACCUCACUUUCAAUUUUUUUUAUACCUUAAUUCAUAUUCUAUCAUAUAUUAGUUGUGAUAGUUUAGAUAGAUCAGAAGAAAAAAAAAUCCCGAUGCAAUGUAGUAAUGAGUUUCUCUUAAUUGUGUAAAUACGUUCUAAAGCCAUGAUGACCAAUUGCAUCCAAAGUGAACAAUUAUUUACAUGAAAGAGAAUUGUAAAAAUUGUAUCAGAGCUAAUCUUUGAUCCAAGGGGUGUUCAUAUGUCUAAAUGGACCUGCAAUCUUAUAGGAUAUAACAAGAAUGUUAUAUUUGUAUGAAUUAAUGAUUAUGACAUCCCAUAUUAGAUAAAAGAAAAAUAUUUUUAUUGUUUUUACCAUGAUAUGUGUAACGAGCCCCUCUUAACUAUCUAGACACAUUUUAAGUUAAAUAUAAUCCAAUUUAAAAUCAGUUUAAAUAAUUAAGUAUUAAGUUUUAUCGAACUCUUUCUUUGAUUUUUUUUUCACUCUAAAAAAUGACGGGCAUUAGACUCAAGAAAUAUAAUUCCUAUUUUGACUAUUUCUUGAACCAAAUAAGGCUUUGCAAUGUUACAUUAUUACUCCGAAUAAUGGCGGGCAUUAGACUCAAGAAAUAUGAUUAUGACUAUUUCUUGAACCAAAUAAUGCUUUGCAAUGUUACAUUACUCCAACCAUAUGGGAGCAGGUUAGAGAGGGUAGAGUAGAAGAAAAAUAAGAAAAUCAAAAGCAAAACAAUACAUUCCAACGCGUUUAUUUAUUUAUUUAUUUUAAUUUUAGUGUCUUAACUACAUAUUAAGUCCUUUUUGACUUACACAUCGACUUUAAUAAAUAAUGAAAAUUAAAAAUAUAUAUAUAUAACUAAAAAACAUCUUGUUUGUAUUUGAGCUACCUUGUUUGACGGGCAAUCUUUUCUGAUAACCCCAUGACAUUUGAAAGAUCAAGGCUCUCAAAUUCCACCAACAUCCAUGGAAACAAAAUAUUUAUUAUUAAGGAUGUUUUCAACCCCUCGUGCCUUCUUACAUAUUGUUUUUAUCAUAAAUACUUUCUUAAAAGAGAUCAUAAAUCAAAAAACAUUUUUGGCAAAGGAAAAAAAGACACCAGAGAAAUGAUAAUUCAAAAAUUACUUCUCGUAAAUUUUUAUGUUUUUUAAAACGUUGUCAAAACAUUUGAACUUUGUACAAAAAUAAUAAUAAUUAAAAAAAAAAACCAUUUCUAAUCCUUCAAAUUUUUUAGGGAGAAUUAUAUAAACAUGCAUUAUUUACAAAAUAUGGAUGAAAAAGAAAGCCAAAAAAGUCUUUCAAGUCAUUUUCACGGGAAGUGCAUUUUAGGUUCCCAUUAGUGAUGUGCCCUGUGAGUUUUAGACGGGUCAUUAGGAAGUCUUUGAUUUCACACGCCUUGAGAGCUUUGAACACGUCCUCAGGAAGUCUUUGAUUUCACACUGAAUUGACUCGGAGGGCGGUGGCCCCUGUUUGACAGGUUUUUUUUUGACUCUAUAAGUUUUGGCCAAUCUGCAGUUUGGGGUGGCCCCAACUGAAGGGUGACAGGUUCAAAUUUCCUGACCCACAGAUGAUUUGGAGGGUCUUUUGGUCUUUUGGUUGGCCUAUCCUGUUAGGUAGAACUGGAAUCGAAGAGCCCAUUGAUCAUCUAAAGGGUCUCAUGGUUGAAGACUUGAGAAAAGGACAAUGAAUUCAGGACAAAUUUUUGGGACAAGGGUGGUCACUGAUAUAGUGAUAUGAGCAUCUUUGAUCAUUCAUCAAUGGAUGCCAAUAAUCGGAUAUGCUAUGUUUGGUUACCGGAAAAUUUAAAGGAAAAUACAAGGAAAAGAAAAUAGAAAGAAAAAAAAAAGAUGAAGGAAAAAAAAUUAAAAUUAAUAAAUUAUUUUUAUAUUUUACUUCAAACUCAUUUGACUUAUUAUAACUCAUCGAUAUAAAGAUUAAAUCAUUUGAAAAUACAUAAGUUUCUAAUUAGUUUUAAUUAUAUUUGAUUUUUUUUUAGUAUUUUUCAUAACACAAUCGAACAAAAGAAAAUCAUUUUUCUUAACAUUUCUUUUUCUUUCUUUAGUAUUUUCCGGAAACCAAACAUACACAUAAUGAUUUAUCCAGAGAAGAGAGUUGCUGGUAGUGUCACUUCCUCUGAUCAAGCUCCCUCUAGAAGAUGAGAUUUUCUUGUUGGUUAUAAUGGUUGCAAAAGUGUUUCGAGAGUUUUUCCUACUCCUCUUGGGCAAUUUUGAUGCCCUGAUUAUGAGGACAAAGUAUGUUUGCAACUAAGAAGCUCUUAACAGAUGUCUAAAAUGGGGGUUUUAUGACCUUGACAGCAAUAAGAUAAAAUGCCCAAGAAUUUGGGAAUAGCUAACCUUAAUUGGGUAAGAGGUGCUCCAUUCUAGCUCAUCAUCACUGGGCUUGUUCUUGCUCACUGCCCAGUCAGAGUAAAGUUGACAUAACACAUUCAACAGUAAAUCAAAACCAAAUCCUGGACCUGGACCUGACUUGUCCUAGAGAAUGAGGAAAAGUAGAAACAGAGAAGCAUACUCAUUGAAUUAUCAACUUCAAUUACCUGGAUCCCAGCUACAAUUUGCAUUUGCAGAGGCUUGAAACUAGAGACCUUCUUUCAAGGAAGAACGAGCGGAAUCAGCAUUCAUCUCCUGUUGGUCAUCUGUGCAACUAAUUCAUUAGUCUCAUAAAUGCAUCUCCCAUGGCCUAUUGUUUCAAUAUUUCUCAAACCUGUGUUCAACAUAGUAUCCUGAAUGUUUACCUUUACUGCUUUUGCAUGGGACUCUUUUGUCAGUACCAAAACUGGUGAACCCAUUCUGUGAACCAAAGAUUGAAGAUGAUGAUUCAUCCUUGGAGCUUCUGGAUCUAUCAGUAACAGGAUUCAGAUUUAUCAGGUAACUUGGAGGUAUUCAGCUAGAUGGCCUUCCAUCUGCAAGUAAAGAACAUAAUGAAAUCAUUACAAGUUCCAAGAUUACUGGAUGGAUUAAUUCAAUCUACCAAGUGAAUUAUUUGUAAGCUCCAGCCUUAUUUUACAGCAGUGACAAUCUACUGGAAACCAUGGCAACAUCCAUAGGUAGCAAAAUCUCACUGGCACCACCAAACCACCAAACAAAACUUAAGCCAAGUUUGGAGGGGUUUUCUAUCAUUGGCUGAAGAUGAUAUGUGAAAUUUCCCAACUGAAUCUAGUACUCUGGUUUGAAAACCAACAGCCACAUGUAGCCCACACAAGGGAUGGUAAUUUAAGUUUCUAGCUUGUAAAUUGUAGAGUAGGCACAUAUAUUUUGGAUUUUUAUUUUUAUUUUUAUUUUUAUUUUUGCUUUUGAUGGGAAAAUAAUAAUUCUAUUAAGAUGAUUGGGGAGGAGGGAUGUGCUGCACACCCCUGCUACAACAAGAAGUGUAUAGAGAGAUCUGAAAGUUGAGAAAAGAAAAACAACAAGAAAAAGAAAGCCCUCCCAGAUCCUGGCCCCUCCCUAAGAAAUCAAGAAAUUCCAAAAAAGAAAGGUUCAACACUCCUUAAGUCAAACUCUCCCUGGACCAAUCAAACAGAACCUUUAGGAAGGCCUUUGUUAUGACUUCUGUCUGAACUUUCAAGACACUCAAAAAUCCUCCGAUUAUGUUCCUUCCAUAUGCACCACAAAACACAAAGAAAACAUCCUCAAUUUAGAACACCUCUUCCCCACAAGUCUACCAUGUCAAUUUGAAUAACAAAUGGUUCCCCAACUGAGGAAUCACCAAAGAAAAUCUGAACAGAAAGUACAGGUGAUGACAUAGAAUGCAGGGCUUCUGAUUUAUGGGACCUUAACAGUAAUUUACAGCCUUUCUUUUGCAUAUAUUACUUACACAAAUGCCAUGAUGAUAGUCUAGGUUUCAUUUAUCACCCUCAGCUAGAGACCAACAAGAGGCACUGCCAGCCACAGCCUUCCCCUCACUUCGUAAUCUACAGAGCAUAGCAGAUAUAUUGUUAACGACAUAUAUAGUGGCACAAGAAUAUCAAGACAACAGUCAGUAUGAUGCAGCAUGUUAUUUUUCUGAUGACUAUUUUUGUUUGAGACUGCCUACAUCAUCAGGCCAGGCCUUUCAAUGCCACAAUGGAUUGGGGAGUGUGCUCAAGAUCUAAUUAAGUAGAAAAAAGGAAACCAACAAUCCUUCAAGAUAAAAAUUAGAAAUUCCAAGAAUCUUCAAGCACUGCUAUAUUUUUAUUCCAAAUCUUGAGUGGGGAAAAUCCAGUUUCACCUCUAUGAAAUAAUAAAAAAUCUGCCUUUUGGAAUGAGUACAUCUCCAAGGGCCACACACCCUGUAACUAACCCAACAAAUCACCAAUCCCUGAUAUUUUAAAAUGCCUCAAACCCAAAGCCUAACCCUCUUUCAAUCCCUUAGGAAGAGCAGGGAUCUCAGCAUAUCAUAGAGAAGUCCUGAACAAUGUCUCACACAUGGCUUAUGAAAAUACCCACAAUCCCCACUUGAUUUAGAUUCCUAACAAACAACCAUCUAAUUCCAGCAAAAGAAUCUGAAGGGAGAGUUCCUCUGUGUCAGUAAAUUAAAUAUCACUCCUACAAUCACAAACAGCAAGACAAUCAAGAAUAGAACUGCUCAAGGCACACCUUUGAAUGCAUUUGUACUAGAGUUAAAAACAUGCAUUCAUCCCAGAAGGCCUCCUGAAUUUAUUUUUUUGGUCCAGGAAAUUUCUCACAUUUCUUUCUGUGUAUCAUUGUCAUUAAACAGGAAUGGUGACCAACUGCAGCAUUCUUCCUCUCUAUCCUCCAUCUAAGUCCCAAGCCUUCAAAAGAAAUCUCCAUGAUACUGCAGAGGGCCAAUUAAAGAAUACCCUACCAAACCAGACAUUCUAUGCCAUAGUCUGAAAAUAAGCAAGCAGUCAACAAUUGUAGAUUCCUCACAGAAUAUAGGGAUCCAGAUAGAAACCUUUAUACACCCCUCUGGAUUGAACAGUCUCAGAGACCUGAUGGAUUGACAGGUUUCCCCAUCUUCCAAAGUCAAAAAUCCCCUAACCAUUUUCUUUUCUUUUAUUUUAUUUUAUUCUUAUUUUUUAUUUUUAAUAAUCACUUGUCCAAAAACCAAAACCAUGAUUUAAAUUCAGAGAUAACAAACUUGUUUUGAAAUCAUUACAUAAAAUCCCAAAAGAAAUUCCCAAAAUGCUUACACAUAUGGGAGUUUUUUAUCUACAAAAAAAAAAAAAAAAAGAAUGCAGAAGAAAACAAAACAAAGACAUUACCUCAGAUCAUAAUUAGUUGGAGAUCAACAUAGCAUGUGAGCUUGCCAUUUGCUUCCUCUAUCCUUCUCUGAUCUCUUUUUGCUUCUGCUUGAUCUCUUCUCCCUCAAAUGAAUUGUUAUAACUUCUUUUCCCAAAUACAAAAGAACAGCCUUGCUCUAUUCACUCAUAUCUCCAAAUAAUGUUGCUAAAUAAAUGAAAAAUGAAAAUGUAACAACAAAACAUGCCUUUUUUUUCUUCUUUUCUUUUUUAAUCUUUUAGUGCUAGAAACAAAAAACCAGGCAACAAAAAUGCAUCAAAACAGGCUCAUAAACUAUUUUUUUUGUAGGCCAAACAGCAGAUGAACUGUUAAAACUCUGCAAGUGCCUCAAUUGUGAAUAGGAAAGAUAUUAGGAUUUAGGACUGAUAAUAUAUUCACUGCAUGUUCACAACCACAUUUUUAAGUGUCAUUCCCAAGUUAAGGCCUAGUGGGUUUUCUUUGACUAUACCAACAAAACUAUGUAGCACCAGUGAUGGCAUUGCACUUCAUGGGCUACUAUUUUUAGAAACUCUGGCAGUCACCUAAAGGAGGGGACAUCCAUGAUAGUAUUAGCAAGGGUCCAUAAAGUGCAGAAAUUAAAAUUGUCAACACACUUAGUGGGAAAAAAAAUGCACAAAGACAUACUAUAACAAGCCACCCAAAAAGUAUUCAAAUCAUCAUAAAUCAUGAGGACCUAAUGAUCCGUUUUAGCUGCCAAACCCAAGAGUACAUGAUUCCAAAUGCACAGUAUACAGAGAUCAACAUAAGGGGUACAAAGGGAAAUCUGCUACCAAGAAGGUAAGGAUGUAGAAACUGACCCCAUAUUUCAACAACCAAAAGACCCAACAGAUAAAUCUUCCCAAUCCAUCCAAUUACAAAAUCUCCUUUUUUGGUGGCAGCUCUAGAACUUCCUUUUACUUCCAAUUUAUCACUUCCUUUGUUUGCAGGUGCAGUUGCAUUUAUCACCCCAUUUUUAGUGGAAUGUGCAGAAAAAGCUAACCACAUUACAAUAGAGUGCAAAAGCAGCAACAGAACUUUUAUAGGAUAUUCUUGGGCUUCAAAUAGCAGUGGAAAAAGAGAGUAGGAAGACACUGCAUAGAAAAUAAAAAACAGGUCCAUGUUAAUCUAUAAACUGGACUGUAAGCAAACCAAUGAAUAAGAACUCCAUGACACUAUUUUCUUUUGUUCUUUUCUUGUCUCCACAUUUUGAUAAAGGAAUUGGGACAGGGACCAGGUACACAUAGGAUGGAAAAUCUUCCCAAACCAAGGGUUAUAAAAUGCUGAAACAUAGGUGUACAUAGAUACUGUCACCAAGGUUUUAAACUUUAACCUUCAGAAAUCCAUCUGGAAAUUCUCAUCAUUUCAAAACUUUAAUAAAAGUUUCUCCUGCAUAAAAUUGGAAUUACUUUACAGAUUUAUUUUUUUUUAAAAAAAACUAAAAUUUAUUUCAAUUUUGACCACCUAGGCAAAUGGUUUGCUUUUCUUCAACUAGGAACUGAAGGUAAAAAGCAAAGGAUUUUGCAGGACAGACUUAUGAUGCCAAUUCUAUUUUUCCAUUUCUCUUUGUGGUGAAAAGUAAUGCCUAUCCUGCUUAAAUAAUUAAAAUAAGGAAAUUCAAGUUGUAAUUGCUUAAAAAAAUUAAUUAAUCCAAAAGGCAAAAAAGCAUAAAUGAAAAAAAGAACAGGUAAAUAAACAAAAAGGAGAAGGAAUGAAGGAAAAUGAAAAUAAUACUGUCACCAACCAAAGGUUGAAGUUUCCAGAAUGCAUUUGAAGAAUAAUCAGCUAAACAGAAACCAAAGUAACUAAAUUAAGCCCUUAUCAGAUUUGUAAAGGUAUGAGACAGAAGUAUACCUAUUGACAGCAAGAAGUAAUGCUUUGCAUCCUCCAAACUUUGCAUUGCUACAAUGGCAAGGGGGAUGACAAAGUGGAGUGAAGCCUUCUCAUGAACAUGCCACCCAAAUAUAAAACCGCAUGUGUAAGCAUAUGCUACCCAUCUAGUGAUCAUCUCUGGACGAGGAUUUCUGCAAGCCUUGAUAAGAGCGGGAGAUAUGGCAAGCACAACCAUAAUAAAGGUUGUCAAGGGAGUGAUCUGUCCAUUAAUUCAAAUAAAAAGAUUUAGUUCACACAUAAUUUAUGGCAUAAGUACAAUCUCCCCAACUCAAGAACCAAGAAUUUUGUUUCAAAACUGGGGCUGCAACUUGGGUGGGUUAAAAGGCUAACAUGCACCAAAUCUGCUUAUCAUUAUAUUCAACCCAUGCCAAGCCCAACCUAAGGUUGAGUUGGAAAUUCUCAACCCGAGCCAAUACAACAGAUAACUUGGAUUUUCAUGGUUUAUCAAACAAAAGACCUAUAAUGGAAUCUCAUAAUAAAUAAAAUACUUAUUUCAAAGAUACAAAAUAUAAACCAUAUUGUAGAAUAAGAUUUUAUAAGUUAAAAAUGCCUCAAGGCCAUAAAAUAUACCAUUAGUUACUAAUGUAAUAUGAAUGACAACUCUAAACUCAACUUUUAGCAUUUAAAAAUAUUUUAAUAAUUAAACAAAAAUGAUAUUAUUAGUCUAAUAUAAUUAAAAAAUGGCAAAGGUUAGAGCUCUUUCAUUAUCCUUUUCAUAUUUUAAAUAAAAAUAAUAAAUAAUACGAUUAAAAAUAAUAAAUAAAUAAUAAUAUAUGAGUUUGAGUUUCGAAGGGUUGCCUACAUCUUCAACCAAUGCCAACCCUAAUAUCUUCAAGUUGGUAUUUUUCUAACCCAACCUUAACUCAUUCACACCUUGCCCAUGCCAACCACCUUGGGUUAGACAGAGGUUGUGUGCGUUGGACUGGGCUAAGUUGUGGCCAUAUCUAGAACUACUAGUAUUUGGAACCAUAAUGUCCAAGUUAAAGCUAGGAUAGAUGACACACCACAUGUGGUCCUAGCUGGCAUAAGAACCACCAAAAUGACAGUCAACCAAUUCAAUAAAUAGGUACUUUGCUAGAUUUAGGGCAUUCUAAAUGGGUAGAGGAUGUAGGUUACUAGGUUCAUUAUGCAUCUUAACCAGGUUUCACUGAUAGAAAAAAAAAAAAAGGUUACCGAUGGUAGUAUAGCAAAAGGUGAGGAAUCCCCUACUAGACCCCCAGUGAAUGAAGCUGCUGGUGCCUGGAUGUUGAAUCCCAGAUUCCUGAGCAAGAAAGCAAGCCCUUUAUCUAAAAUAAUAUAAAAGACCCAAAAAUUUGGAGCCCAGUAUGCAUGGCAAAGUCCCCUCCCGAAUGGAAACAUGCGAUGUAUAACUUGUUGUAUCUGCAAGGUAAGAGUUUAAUAAUUAAUGCAAGAUCCAGUGAGUAUAUAAAUGAUUGGUGACAGCUUUAAUAAUUGUUUUGCAAGCAUGAGUAUAGGUGAAUAAAGACAAUCUGGAGAAAUAAGAUCAUGUUAACUAGUCAAAAAAAAAAUGCCAAGAUCAAGUUCUAAUUUGCAACAUGUUUCGUUUUCUCCUUUUAGUCCUUGUAGAUUGUCAAAUAUUUAAAACUAUGGAAUACUUCAUUUCAGCGUCUAACCUACUUAUCUUAAUCUUAAUUAUGACAUUACUGUUCUAACUUUCGAGCCUAAUUCAUAUUAAUGUACAUUAAGGGCAUUUUAUGGGAGUUUGAUCCCCAAAAAGUAGGAAUACUUCAACUCUCAGUAUUAUUGUGUACUUUACAAUUUUGCUUUUCAUCGGUUUUUAGUUGGCAAAGUUCUACAACCUACAUCAAGAUACCAUCUUUUAUCAACAUACGCAUAACCAAGGCUACAACUUGGUCAGCUAAAACAAUGGGAUAAAGGAAUCAAAGUUUUGCAAGUCAAUGUUAAAUAACUGAUAGUAAGUAUAUCCAUUUGCCUAGGGAAAUCUAAAUGGCUUCAAUACUAUGAAUUCUAGUUGCCCUUUUAAACAGUUCCAUUACAUAGGUUCUUUAAAAAUGUCAUUUUUGAAAACUUGUUUUCCGGACAAAGUCCAUAUAAUAGGCAUUCCAAACUUUGUUAAGAUCCAAAACUUUUAAUUCAUGUCAAUGUAUAUACCACAUGGAUGUAAUUUGUGAAUCCCCAAAAUUAUACAGAGUCGUAAAGGCCUAACAGUGAUCAAUUACAUAAUUAAGAAUGCAAAUUACAACCAUGUUAGAGAAUUUGUAGCCUUUGCUUUUUCACACUAUCGAGAGAAAGCAAAUAGAUAAUGCCUACAAGAGAAAUAAGAUUGGGAACGAUAGGGGGUUGCAAGCAAUACAAAUUAUGAAACACAUUAUAGAAACAUAAUCACACCUACAAACUACAACAUUACCUGUUAUAAUAUGUAGACAACAAAAAUAUAGAGAAGAAAAAACAACAAAUCACAGAUAGCCUACAUAAUCUAUCAACCAAAGCAAGACAGGGUUAUGAAAAAACCAAUCAGAAGAAAUCAAUGCAAGUAGCAUUACUAGAUCAUUCACAUACAAGCAACAGUUUUCAUCAUCCAUAAGGAUUACAUUACCUGCCCAUAGUACACGAAAGGUCCAAAAGCCGCUGCAAAAACCAAGGCAACCACAGCACCCAUCACUAAAACCCUCCCAAAACCCUUAAGGAAUCCGCCACGGCAAAAACGGCUCAACAAAAACACAAAAUAAACAGGAGCGGCCACAGCAAACAAGUGCUUAAAACACAACAAAACUGCAAAAACGAAGCCGCCCAUCAAAUCCCUCCCUUCCUCCAGAAACGAAAGGGACAACAACAAGAUCCCCAGCAAAAACCCAUUGUACUGAAAAUGCACGUGGUCCACAAUGAAAAGCCCCGGCGACGAAGCAACCAAAACCCAGAUCAGAUUUCGCUUUCCUGAGUCCAAUUUUGCAGUCAAUCGAUACAAUGCAAAGAAGAGACACAGAUCAGAUACAAUAACAGUCAUCCUUUGGAAAUAAAUAACCGUAUUGGAGUUGUAGUUUAGGCCUUGUCGGAGAUUUACGAUUGUGGGGUCGAUGAGAUUGGCGAAGAUGGAGAGGAAGCGCUCGAAGUAAGCGAAGAAAGGUGGGUAAUCAAGGGUCCAGGGACUGGUCUCGUCAGAGUACCAUUGAGAGAGAGGGAGAGAGUGGGUGAGAGCAAGCCAGUUGCGGUGGACUUCGAAAUCAGUGGAAUGGUAGGAUGGGAUCAAGAGGAGCUUGAUGCAGGCGGCUACAAGGGCGUACCAGGCCAUGGAUUGGAGGGUACCCCCAGGAUUUUUGUGGGGUCUUUGAAGCUUUUCUUCCAUGGAUUUAUCGGUUUUCGGUGGGAAGUUUGCUAGGAUUCGGAUGAAAUGACCGAAAUUUCGCCGAUAACUGGGUAAAAUAUUCUGCGACUUUCCUGCAUACGGGUUUUGAUUGGAAAACUUGCUUGCUUGGCGAACAGAGUUUGCUCAUUGGCCCAUUUCAUAUAAAGACGGCUUCUACCGAGACACUGAAUUUGCAAUGAAAAUGAGCAGGAGGAAGACGAUACUAAGAGAAUAAAUUACACCUUGACCUGUUGCUUAUGUUAUUAUUAUUAUUAAUUGAUUAAUAGGAUUUUAAAAAAUCCAAUUUUUUAAAUUUCAUCCCUCACCCUUUUUUUUAUCUUAUUUGGAUAAAAAUAUCAUUAUUAUUAUUUCUAAUAAAAAUAAUCAUCUUUUAAAACUUACAUAUAAAUACUUAAAAUAAUAAAUAAUAUUUAUAUUAAAAUAAAUUACUUUUCAAUAAAAUCCUUGGAAAAAAUUAGAUUCAUCAUUUUAAUAAAAUAUUUUUAUUAUUAAAUGACCAAAAUAAUUGUGAAUUUACCCACACGUUGGCAUACAUGACCCUAUUUUGACAUAUUUUUCCCUCUUAUUUUUCUUUUAUUUAUUUAUUUUUAUCUAUUUCUCUUUUAUUUUUAUUUGAGGGUUUUUAUUUAUUUAUUUAUCCUUUUUUUUUUUUUUUAUGUUUGUGAGGGAUCUUUGACUAAGGAUAAAAUAAUCAUUGCUUAGGAGGCAUGUGGUAACUCAUAAAGUUGCAACUCCAUAUCACACACAAAUGAACAAAUUGAGCUAAGAAGAUCAAAGACAUAUUCAAAAGUGUAAGAUUAUCACAGAUCUUAUCACUUUCUAGUUGAGUUAGAGCAUAAACCAUUUUAACAAUUAAGAAAUUGAAGUUUAACUUUAUUAAAGCUAGGGAAAACAAAAAACUUAGGGAUGAAUGAAUAAGAGGAAUUGAGAAAUGAAGCCUUCCUCAACUCCUAAUUAUUAAGAAAAUGGCAAACAUAUUAUGAUAAGAGUAUUUUAAGGAAAAUUCUCAGGGAAUUCUUUUUCGAGUAAAAGUUUUAUCAUAAAAAUUAAGAUUCAAUUAUUUCCCAAAAAGGUUGAGGAGUGAAUGACUUAGGUGGUGUUUGUUUUUUGGCUGAAUAGAAAAAGCCAAAUAUUUUGGCCUUUUCUAUUCAGCUAAAAGUAACCUGUUAACAUUAUCCAAUAUAAUUAAAUUGAACUUAUUGAUAACAAGUUCAUUUUAACUAUGUUGGAUGAUGUCAACAUGUUACUUUUAGCUGAAUAGAAAAAGCCAAAAUAUUUGACUUUUUCUAUUCAGCCAAAAAACAAACACCAACUUAGUUUUUUUUAUAGUGAAAAUACUAUUCCCUAUGGAAUUAUUGAGGUCAUUGUUAGGAAUGGAGAAAUUUAACAUUAUGUUUGGCUCUAAGAAAAUUGACUGAAAAUAGGGCUUUGAGUUAUUUUCUAAGAUGCUUAAGAAUCUCCAUUGAUUGUUUUAUUGACUAUUUUUUUUACUUUAAGUUGUGAAUAACAAGAAUCAUUCUAUUUUCAUGACACAUAUGUCUUGACCUUCGUUUAUACGGAGAAAACAAGAAAAAAAAACCUUCAAAAGAGAGGACUUUUGUUUUUUAGAAAAAAGAAUUGUGUUCUUUUUGUUUUCAGGUUUUCAAAGAGAGAGAGUAGAAAGCAUAUUCUUUCUCUGUUUUUUUUUUCAAAGAGAGAGAAAGUUUCCUCUAUGAGAGAAGAAAAAAAUUAUUAUUAUUAUUUUAAUUGUAGCAAUUUUAAAACUCCUAAAACUGCUCCCCACAUUUUCUAUUUUGUUGAGUUGGGUCAACCCACUUGGACACUCAAAUCCAACUUCAACAUCUCCCACUUGCAUAAGAUGGGUUGAAACAGCUUAAUCAAUAACAUCCAGGUCCAUUUUAUUCCACUUUCUUCAUAUAGGCAAAUGGGUUGUGUGACUAUGUGAGCACACCUACAAUUUAGGAGUUAUACGCUUGUGACUCUAUUAAGGAUACAUAGUAGUUCAACCCCAAAAUUUAUGAGUGAACAAUAAUAAUCAUGUCUCAUUGUACCCUAAACUUAUUUAGUUAUAUUUUUAAUGUAUACAUUUAAUCCCUUGAAGUUGUAUACUAUCCAACAUUAUAAAUAUAUUCGCAAUUAUAUCAGUUACAAAAAUAAUAUAAUCGGUCAACCAUGAACACAUCUGCGUCAAUGCAACUCAAAAAGUUUUUCUUUUGAGCUCAUACCUUUUAGAUUCAAAUUAAUCAUUUACCCAAUAUGUCCCAUAAGGAUAAAUUGUUUCAUUUUUGUCGAAAACAUACUAAAGUAACAACAUUAAAUUGUCGCCCUUAAACAUAGUCAAAAGUAUAAAGAGGACUAUAAUGGGUUAUUAUAAGUGUAAUAAGCUUUAAGAAUCUCACACAAUGAGGAUACAAGGAUUAAUCACUCACUUUUCUUAUUAGUCACGUUCAAACACAUGUAGUAUGAAAUGUAUGCUAUAGCGGUUUCUCUACUUAGAGAGUGUAAAUCAAACUACCACCAUAAGAACCUCAACUAAGAACUUCACACCAGCAAUUUGUUCGAAUUUCACAUCUAUAGUUCUCCUUAAACCUUUUAUGCUAAAACUUAAGUCCGAUUCAAAUAGACAAAUGUAAUUGUGAUCGAUUAUAUUCGGUCAAGAUGUCAUUUAUUAUAGACCUCAUCUUGAUACUUAAUUAAGGUGACACUUGUCAUCUUUGUAUACUUUUCACUUAUUUAUUAUCAUUAGUAUAUCAUGUCUCAUCCCAACUCAUAAACACAUUGAUUAGGGUGGUUGCUCAUGUGAGAAAGUCAACCCCUGCUUGUUGACAUACUUUUGAGAGUAUAUAUGUGUAAGUAUUAAUUUCAUAUUCAAUGAUAUGAAUAACAAAUACCCAUUUCAUUUUAUCAUGUACAGAGCAUCUUAUAUCUAAUCAUAAUGUUUCAGGACAUAUUAUCAACAUAAAUCAUAACCUAUGGAGUCCUAAUGACUUUACAUGUGUAAAAAAACAUGUUUGUUGGAAUGGAUUCUAUGAAUGGAUCAACAACCAUUUCAUGUGUAAGUAAAUAUUUCAAGAUCACCUAUUUGUGUGCAAUAAUAUAUCUUAUUAGAGUUAUUCUUGGUAUUUAUACUCUUAGUUUUUCCAUGAUAUUUCAGAUCCUUUACAUAAGCAAUUGCAACUUGAUCGUCACUAUAGACUGUCGUUGGCUCAAAAAACAUCUAUGACUAUUCUUAAUCUUUACAAAAAAAUUCUCAACCACAAUGCUUCUUAUAUUACAACUGAACAUGUAAUAAGUUCAGCUUCCAUGGUUGGCAAAGUUAUACAACUUUGUUUCUUACUUUUCCAUGAGAUGACAUCAUUAUUGAGUUAGAAUCUGAAUGUUGAUUUGUGCUCAUCUAGAUCACCUGCCCAAUCGACACUAAGUGCAUUUCUUUGCCUUGAUAACAAAAGGGAUCCAUAAUGCCUUUUAAAUACCUAAAAUUUCUCUUUACUACUUUUCAAUGCAUCAUUCUAGGAUUUGCUUGAUAGUGACUCAUCGUCCUAACAACAUAGGAGAUGUCUAGUCUUGUGCACAUUGUAGCAUACAUUAGACUCCCAACAACACUAAAGUAGGGAACAUUAAUUAUUUUUCUCUUUUUCUGGAGUCUUUGGAUCCAUUUCUUUGCUUAGGCUUUCACCUUUUGCAAAUAGAGUAUCAAUGGGAUUUCAAUUUUGCAUAUUAAAUUGUUCAAGGAUAUUCUUAAUAUAGUGCUCUUGUGAAAUAACUACUAGUUUGUUGGAACGAUCUCUAUGAAUCUUUUAUUCCAAAAAUGUAAGAUGUUUUUCCCACAUCAUUCAUCUCAAAAGUAGAUGACAACCAUCUUUUAAUGGUUUGGACAAACUCCAAAUCAUUUCCAACUAUAAGUAUAUCAUCCAUGUAUAAAGAUAAUAACACAUAUUUAUCUUUAUGUUGCUUAAUAUAAACACAAUGGUCCACAUCAAUCAUUGUGAAAUCAUACCAAGUCAUUGCACAAUGAAAUCUCAAGUACCAUUGCUUAGAUGAUUGAUUAAGGCCAUAAAUUAAUCGAUCUAGCCUACACAUUUUGUGUUCUUACCUUGGAUAACGAAACCUAUUGGUUGUUCCAUAUGGAUUUUUUCAAUCAAUUUUCCUUUAAAGAAAGCUAUCUUAACAUCCAUUUAGUGUAGGUUUGAAUCCAUAUGGGCCAUUAUAGCUAGAAUAAGGUGAAUCAAGGCAAACCUAACUACUAGAGAGUAGGUUUUCAAAUAAUCUAUACCCUUUUUUUGGGUAUAGCCUUUAGUCAUUAGUCGAGUUUUAUACUUUACAAUGGAUCCAUUUGCUUUUCCUUUCAUUUUAAGAACUUAUUUGUUCCAAAUGGCUUUUCAAUCUAAAGGCAAAUCAACCAAGUCCCAGACUUGAUUCUUUCACAUUGACUCUAACUUCUCCUCCAUUUAUUUUCUCCAUUCAUCCUUAGUUAGACAAUACAAGCCUCAUGCACCAACUUAGGUUUAACAUCAUCAUAUUGAGUUACAAUAUGAAUUUCCCCUUCAAUUUCAAAACAUUAUCGUGGAAUAAUUUAUCAAGAACUUUUUUUCAACAUUGGCUCUCUUAGUUUACUUACUACCAGUACUAGUUCACUCUCACUUGAUUCAAACAUCAAUUGUUGUUCAGAUAUGGAUCUUAUGUUUGGAUCUAUUAUUUCAUAAAGAUAUAAAUCCCUAUCAAUAUCACUUGCACAUGGCAAAUCGUCCUCUAAGAAUGUAGCAUCUUAUGAUUCUAAUUCAAUUAUUAUUUCAUCUUCAUGCUCACUUAUGCACACAUACCCUUUAGAGUGUUCACUGUAUCUUAUAAAGGUACAUUUUCUUUAUCUUUGACCUAAUUUCCAUAUUUAUGAGAAGGAUUGUGAACAUAAGCCAUUAAGUCCUAAGGUCACAAAUUGCUAAGAACAGACUUUUGAUUAUUCCAUAACUCAUAUGGAGUAUAUGCAAUAGACCUUGAGGGUACUCGAUUAAUUACAUAAGUAGUAGUCAACAAUGCAUCUCCCCAAUAUGAAAUAAGAAGAUUUUCUUAAGCCAUUAUUGACCUAGCCAUGUCUAACAAUGUUUUUUUCUUCCUCUUAGCAACACCGUUUUGUUAUGGAGUUCUUGUAAUAGUCAAUUGUCUAUUGAUAUCAUUUUCAUCACAUAAAUCUUUAAAUUGCCUUGAUAGAUGUUCUCUACCCUAGUCUGCUCUUAAUGUUUUAAUCUUUUUAUCCAACUGAUUCUCAACUAAAUUAAGGUAAUGUUUGAAGCAAUUUAAUGCUUUUAACUAAUGAAAAAUUAGAUAAACAUGACCAUAAUGAGUAAAUUCAUCUAUAAAUGUGAUGAAGUAUAAGGUGUCAUACCUUAUACUAAUACUUAUAUGACCACUAAUGUUAGAAUGAAUUACUUGCAAUGGUGCUUUAGCUCUAAUUCUUUUUUCAAAUGGUUUUCUUGUUGUUUUACUAGCUAGACAAUAUUUACAAGUUGACAUACCGAUAUUAGUGAAUUGGCCUAGAAUAUUUUAUCUAGUUAGUCUCUUCAUUCUUUCAUGUCCAAUUUACCCAAGUUUACCAUGCCAUAUAAUUAAAUUAUCAUAUAUAUUUGUAAAAGUAGUCAUCAAUGAAUAAUAACUUAGACAACACAUAGUUAUCAAUGUCAAGAUCCAUAAAACCAUCUAAAAUGAAUCUAGAACCAAAGCAUGUUGUUCCCAAAUACAACUCCAUAACUAAACUAUGAAAAUUCAAAUUAAAACCUAAACCAAUAAGGCUUAACAUAGAGACUAAGUUGCGUCAAAUAUCCGGAGCAUAAAGAACAUUAUGUAGGAAUAGGGUAUGUGGAGCUACACAAUUCCAAUUUGUACUUUCCAAUACCCUUGACCUCAAUUUUUGGAGUUGUUUUCUACAUAGAUCCAUCUUAUACUAGAACUAAUUUGUUGGAACUCUACCUAUACUUCUCAAUCUAUAGCUAUAUGAUUGGUGGUGGUUGAGUCUAUUUUGGCUUAAUGCACUCAUAAGUGAAGUGACUCUUGUUGCCAUAGUUAUUGAGAAAAUAAAGGCUAAUCUUAAAUGAGAAAAACACCCAAGAGGAGGUGAAUUGGGUUUUUCAAAAAAAAUUUCAACACAACAAAUUUAAGCACAAUAGAAGCAAAUAUAAUGAGAUAGAGCUAGAGAAUUCAAACUCAGAUUUUAUAGUGGUUCGACACUUCCUUGUCUACGUCCACUCUUCUCAAGCUCCUAAUCGAGUGAGGGUUCCACUAACUUGAAGCUUCAACCAAGCUUCUAAUCUUCUUUACACUUGGAUUCUGGCUCCAAUGGGUUCUUACAUAAUCUCUUCAAGAUUCAACUCACUUGAAGGCUCUAACACUCAAUGUAUUCUCUCAACCUAGCUCAAUAAUGGCUCAAAUACAAAUCAAAGCUAGGAUGACUCACAAGGGUGCACUAAAAGAUAUGCAAGUGAAGAUUUAAUGCACCAAGAAAGAAAUGAGAGCUUUUAAGGCAAGAACAAGUGGGUAGACAAUUAGAUGCAAGUGUUCUCUAUAUCAUAAAUGAAGUGGAGCUCUCAAUUUAUAGGUUUCUAACCUCGGGAGCCAAGAAAAACAAAAAGCAACCUCAACCAGUCGAGCUGAGGGUUGACCAGUUCACUAGCCAUUGGAGCAUUUAAUGCUUUCGCAAGUUACCGUUGCUUCAACCGAACCUCGAUAGGAGGUCGAUAGGAAAGAAGGAUACCUCAACCGGGAAUGGAAUACUACUAGAUGAGAGAGAGUAUUUUUAGCACUCCUUGACCGGACCUCCACCGAACGGUCGACUGGUACCUUGGCCGGUUGAGUUGGUUGGCCAGUGUCUCGACCAAUUUAGCCUUUUGGUCCCGAAAACCUAUAUUGUUUUGUUUUUUUCUUUUCUAACACUUAGACAAGGUCUUUAGGUAAAUAAAUAUGUCAAUUAUGUAACGUUUUGUCUAAGGUAUAUUUGAUAAAACUCAAGUUUUAAUGAAAUUGUAAUUUUAAAGAAUAAACCGAGUUUUCAAAGAUGCAUGAAAUGAUAUGUAAAACCUAAGUGCACUCAUGCAUUCAUUUUACAUUUGUUUUCUAUGAUUAAAGGUCUUCCAAAUAUCUUGAUCUUGUAUCCAUUAGGUCAUUUGAUGAAUUUCCAAAUUAAUACCUGAGAUUUUUUACAAUUCAAACCAAUUAGUAACUUAACCAUGGUUUGUUAUCAUCAAAACCUAAUUAGGAGAACCCUUGGGUUAACAAUCUCCCUCUUUUUUAUGAUGAAAAAUCUUGGUUAUCUAGGAGAAUAAGAAUCUCCCCGUCAAACCAAUCAUGGAUCAAUCAAUCAAAAAUUUAUGAAGUUAAAACAAAGAUAAUCAAGACAUGCGAAUUUUCAAUAAGAAACAGUGUAAGUCAUGAAACAUAUAAUAUAUCAUAUAUAAGUCAAAAGUACAUGAAAGCAUAUAAGUUUAUCAUAUAUAUGAUCCAAACAAAAUAUAUGACAAUGAUAUGCAUGUAAGUUUCCUAGAUCAUAAAUAUGUCUCCCUCUUUUGGAAACAUAAAAAAGAAACAAAGGGGGUCUCUAUGAAAUCAAGGCUGAGGAGGUGGAGGUGGAAACACGGAGCGUAGGUAAGCCAUCAUCUCCUCAUGCUGACUCUCUCGGCGACUCUCAAUGCGUUCAAUCUUCUACUGGAGAUGCUCAAACGUAGUCUGCUACUGAUCCAUGCGAUCCUCCAUACGCUCAAAUCUCUGUUGCAGAUACUCAAAUUGAGAGGUGAAGCCAGUCUGAUACUAAUCCAUGCGAUCAUCCAUGGAGUAGAAUCGAGUAUCACUAACUACUGCAAACUCCUCCAUGCGAGUGUCGAGAAAGCUAAUAUGAGCAGAUAGAUCCAUCCAAGGUGCAUGAUUAGGAGCGUGAGGUGCCUGAUGAGAUGAUAUUUCUGUGUGAGUAGGCUCAGUGAAUGAUAGCUGAGAAAAUGGUCCCACUGUGUAAGUCGUCUCAGACAUCAUUGACUUAGAAAAUAUGGCAUCAAAUUGAACAUCUUUUGACUGGAGUUGGGGAAUGUCAAGCUCGAGCUCUCUCUGCUGAAAGCCUCUCUGAGGGUCUACUCCACCCUCUAUCUCUUGUAUCUCAGCCUCCCCCUUUACUCCAGGAUGCACAUGUCCCUCUCCCUAGGCCUGUGUUGAUGGUCUCUCUGCUAUUUUAAUCUAAGAACCAUCGAAGGCCUUCUCAAAUUUCUUCCGCCCCAAAGACUGCUCAUCAUAUGUAUUAUAAGUGUUGGAGGUCUCAAAAUCUGUCUCUCUGCUCAAAUCAACCCCGACAUCCUUGAACACUCUAGUGAGGAAGCGACCAUAGGGAAAUACGCGGCUCGUGCUCUCGCAACCUGAGAUCAUGUGCAUCAUCAUCAAAUACCCCAAGUGAAUCCGUCUUCUCGUCAGAAUAGAGUCCAUGAGGAAUGCCUCAAAAUAGGAAACCCCGUCUCGGUGUCUGCCUCGUGGUAGCAAGAUGGAGCAAAUCAUGUGGUGUAGUACUCUACCGAUCACAGUCAAGCUAUGGGCCAAUGGUUUGCCCAUCCCCUAGGCGUCUGCAAAUCCGCACAUCCUCUAAAUGGCCUCUUUAGGCUCGAAACCUAGCAUAGUGGGCCAAAUAUUGGACUCAUACACCCUAAGUCUAAUUGGAGCAAUAUCUAAAAUGCGAUAGAUGCUCUUCGGGUCCAACAGAAUCUCGACUCCUCUAACGGUAGAAAUAAUUGGGCCACCAAUGCCAUAUGUCGCCCUCGAAUAGAACUCUCGCACCAAAGUAAAAAAAAAAAUCGGCUCCGAAAUCGUCACUACGGGCAACCAACCCAUCCGACUAAAAAGACCCUCAAACCCGAAAUGCUAGAGUUGGGAGAAAUUGAUAUUUCUCCCUAGAACUACUUUCCUCUAAGCAAACUUUUGUUUGUACCUCUGAUAAUCCUCCACAGAACUGAAUAGGGCGGUGUCAAACCUCGCCUUUCGGCGAGCCUUCGUCUAAGCAGGCUAAGACGGCUUAGCUGAGCGCUUGCCCUGUGCCCUAGAGGCAGCUGACUCUCUCCUAGGAGCCAUGAGAAAGACAGAGACAAAGGAGACGAGGUAGGUAGAAAGAGAAGCACUCACAACCGAAACCCUAGGUGCACGAGAAUGGUGCUGAAACUGAUUGUGACGCACGGAAGAAGGAGAAACUGACCCAAAUCCAAAACCCUAGCCUCUAAAAAUCAAUCCAAAGCCCUCAAUCUGCUACAAUGUCCUCAAAAAUCACUCAUUAGCAACUGAAUCGGCAGAAUUCUUGAAGAACCAGAGGAAAUGGGUGAGAAAACGAAGCACAAGAGUCUCUUUAAAUCCUCAGCCUCGACGAACCGAUUGACCGGUCCUAGUUCGGUCGACCGCCUGGUCAACAAGUCAACAGGUUUGACUUUUCACCUUUUGUGUAUUUUCUCAUUUUCUGAUCCCCCCGCCCCCUUCCUUUACCAUUUUCAGUUGAAAUCCCCAAUUUUUUAUGCUCAAUGCCAAGGGAAUUUUUAUUUUUGGUCAAAAUUUGACCAUUUAUCUAAGUAUAUGUCUAUAUGAUGCAUAUAACAUGAAAUUCAUGUAAUCAAAAGGUAUAUUCAUCAAGAAUUCAUUAAGCAAUCAUUAGAUCAUAAAGAAAUCACCCCUAGUUGUCUUCUAAUAUCAACAAAUUAUUCUUCACUUAAAGGUUUUGUAAAUAUAUCAGCAAGUUGAUCUUUUAUGCUUACAAAUUCAAGUGUCAUGUCACCCUUUUGUGCAUAGUCUCUAAGAAAAUGAUGUAUAAUCUCUAUAUGUUUAGUCCUAAAGUGUUGCAUGAGAUUUUUUGAUAUAUUUAUGGCACUAGCAUUAUCACAUUUAAUAUGAACAUGCUCAAAAGAUAAAUCAAAAUCACUAAGUGUUUGUUUUAUCUAAAGAAUUUGUGCACAACAUAAACCAGCUGCUAUGUAUUCGGCUUUCGCCGUUGACAAGGCUACCGAAUUUUGCUUCUUACUAUGCCAUGAAACAAGUGAGUGUCUUAGGAAAUGACAAAUGUCACUAGUUCUUUUUCUUUCAACCCUACAACUGGCAAAAUCGGCAUAAAAAAAUCCAAUUAAUUCAAAAUUAACACUCUUAGGAUACCAUAAGCCUAUGUCCAUUGUCCCCUUCAAAUAUCUAAGAAUUCGUUUUACGGCACUUAAGUGAGAUUCUUUGGGACAAGAUUGAAAUCUAGCACACAAGCAUACACAAUACAUAAUGUCAAGUCUACUAGCGGUCAAAUAUAGCAAAGAACCUAUCAUGCCUCUAUACAUAGUUGAGUCAAUGGAUUUACCUUUCUCAUAUUUAUCAAGCUUGAUGGAUGAGCUCAUUGGUGUCUUCAUUGUUUUGGAUUCUUCCAUGUUGAACCUUUUGAGAAGAUCUCUUAUAUACUUUGCUUGAUUGAUGAAGGUUCCUUCCUUUAGUUGCUUGAUUUGAAGUCCAAGGAAGAAGUUGAGUUCUCCCAUCAUGCUCAUUUCAAACUCACUAUGCAUGCACUUAGAAAAUUCUUCACAAAGAGAGACAUUAGUAACUCCAAAAAUAAUAUCAUGAACAUAUAUUUGAACUAAGAGCAUCUCAUUUUCUUUGGUCUUUAUGAAAAGAGUUGUGUCAAUUUUUCCCAUUUUAAAGCCUUUUUUCGAAAGAAAUUUACUCAAUCUUUCAUAUCAUGCUCUAGGUGUUUGUUUCAAACCAUAAAAUGCCUUUUUAAGUUUAAAAACAUGGUUAGGAAAGUCAAAACUUUGAAAACUGGGUGGUUGUUCAACAUAUACUUCUUCAUUUAUAAAGUCAUUUAAAAAAAAAAAAACUUUUCACAUCCAUUUGAUAUAAAACAAAGUUUUUAAAACAUGUAAAGACAAGUAGCAUCCUAGUGGCUUCCAACCUAGCUAUGGGGGCAAAGGUUUCUUCAUAAUCUAUCCAUUUUUCUUGAUUAAAACCUUGGGCUACCAAUCUUGCUUUAUUUCUAAUAACUAUGUCAUUUUCAUCCAUUUUAUUUUUAAAGACCCAUCUAGUUCCAAUAACACUUUGAUUUGAAGGUCUUGGCACUAAUUCUCAUACUUCACUUCUUUCAAAUUGAUUUAACUCUUCUUGCAUAGCAAGCAUCCAAUUUUCAUCAACUAAAGUAUCAUUUAUAUUUUUAGGCUCAAUUUGAGAGAUAAAAGCAAUAUUAUUGCAAAUAUUUCUACGAGAUGAUCUAGUUUUUACCCCACUAUAUGGAUUACCUAUAAUUUGAUCUUGUGGGUGGUUGAUGACAAACUUUCAAUCUUUAGGAAGAUCUUGACUUGAUUCACCUUGCACUUGUUGAGGAUGGGGUAGUGCCAAUGGUGAUUCUUCUUUCUUGGGAUCCUCUCCAAUUUCUUCUUGUUGCCUUCUAUCUUCAAUUUGCAAUUUUUCCAUGGAGGUCUCCAAACCUAAAUCAUCAUCAAAACUCUUUCUUUCUUGGAGAGAAUUGUUAGAUUCAUAAAAAAUAACAUGGAUAGACUCCUAUACAACCAUGGUUCUUUUGUUAAAAACUCUAAAAGCUUUACUUGAAGUUGAGUAACCAAUGAAAAUUCCAACAUCCGAUUUUGCAUCAAAUUUUCCAAGAUUGUCUUUCUUUCUUGGAGAGAAUUGUUAGAUUCAUAAAAAAUAACAUGGAUGGACUCCUAUACAACCAUGGUUCUUUUGUUAAAAACUCUAAAAGCUUUACUUGAAGUUGAGUAACCAAUGAAAAUUCCAACAUCCGAUUUUGCAUCAAAUUUUCCAAGAUUGUCUUUGGUGUUUAAUAUAAAACAUUUGCACCCAAAGACUUUGAAAUAGCUAAUAUUGGGUUUCUUGUUUUUCCAAAGCUCAUAGAGAGUUUUCUUAAGAAUGAACCUCAAUAAUAUUCUAUUUAAAACAUAACAAGAAGUGUUAACCGCUUCGGCCCAAAAAUAUUUUGGUAAAUUAUUUUAAUUUAGCAUGGUUCUAGCCAUUUCUUGAAGAGUUCUAUUUUUCCUUUAAACUACCCCAUUUUGUUGAGGAGUUUUAGGAGUCAAAAAAUUGUGGUUAAUACCAUGCUCAUUGCAAUAUUCUUUAAAAUCAAUAUUUUCAAAUUCUUUUCCAUGAUCACUUCUUAUAUAAGUAAUUGUAAACCAUUUUUUAUUUUGAACCUUAUUGCAAAACUUUGAAAACUCAUAAAAGGUUUCAUUAUUUUGACUUAAAAACAAGACUCAUGUGUAUUUAGAGAAGUCAUCCACAAUAACAUAUGCAUAAGACUUUCCUCCAAGACUUGGUGUCCUAGAGGGACCAAAUAAAUCCAUAUGCAACAGCUCAAGUGGCCUAGAUAUGGAAAUGAAGUUUUUGUUUUUGAAAGAGUUUUUGACUUGCUUUCCUACUUGACAAGCUUCACAAACUUUGUCUUUUUGAAAAUUUAUUUUGGGAAGGCCUCUAACAAGUUCAUCUUUGUUGAGUUGGGAAAUGAGGUCCAUGUUAGCAUGUCCCAACCUCCUAUGCCAUAACCAACUUUGAUCAUGCAUGCUUGAAAAGCAUCUAUCAUGGCCAUUAUAUUUUGAAAUAUUUAUAGUGUAACCAUUAUUACAUCUAUGACCCAUGAAGAUGAUUUUAUCAUUUUGAAUAUUCUUGAUGAUGCAAUGAGAUGCUUCAAAAAUCACUUUAAAACCUUUGUCACAAAGUUGACUAAUACUUAAAAGGUUGUGUUUUAAACCAUCUACUAAUAAAACACUUUCAAUAAGAGAGAAUGUGACAUUACCAAUGUUUCCUUGACCAAUGAUUCUUCCUUUUGCAUUGUCUCCAAAUGUAAACAUAUCCUCCAUUUUUCUUUGUAAAUAAAGCAAAGUUGGAUUCAUCCCUAGUCAUGUGUCUUGAGCAUCCACUAUCCAAGAACCACUUAUCUUUCUUUGAAUCCUACAAAAUAAAACUCAAGUUGAUUUAGAUACCCAUAUCUUUUUGGGUCCUUGAGGGUUAGUGACCUUGGAUUUUUCAAUCCAAACCUUUUUAGCUUUUGCAUUUGAAUUCUUUUGAGAACCAUUUCUUAAGGGACAUGUACUACUAAUGUGCCCUCCUCUUCCACAAAAGUUGCAAGUAUUAGAAGGACUUGCACUUGAGGAUUCUUUUACAAAAUAGUUUUUAAAAUACUUUUGAUUUUUUGAAAAUUUGAAUCCUAGCCCUUGUUUGUCAAAAACAAAUUUUUGGCUAUCUAGAAUCAUUUCAAAAGAUUUUUGUCCACAAGAAAAUAUUGAAAGAGAAGAGGUCAACCAUUCAUUUUUCUUUCUCAAAAUCUAAUUUUCUUUUUCAAGACGAGUUUUAGAAAUUUCAACAAUUGAAAAUUUUUCUUUUACUUCUUCAAGUUCCUUUUCAAGUUGUUGAAUUUUCUUUUUAAGAGAAAUAUUUUUCAAACUAAGUUUUUCAAAAUCCUUAUAUAAUUUUUCAAAAACAUCAUGCAUAUCUUCAUCACUAAAGUUAGAGUUUACCUCAUCAAGUUCAUCUAUUGCCAUGAAGCACAUGUUUGCCACUUCUUUCUCUUUUUCUUCUUCGAAGGAUUUUUCACUUUCACUCCAAGUGCCCAUCAUUGCCUUCUUCAUUCUCCUCUUGGCUUCACUUUUGUAGAGGGGACAAUCAUAUUUAAUGUGUCCCAGUUUUUUGCAUUUGAAACACACCAAUUUUUUUUUUUUCUUUCCAUUUCUCCUUAUCACCAUGAGAUGAAGAUUCCUUUUUAGAAAGGUCUCUUCUAGAGGUGAACUUUCUACUUCUAAGCCUUUCACUUCUCAUGUAUGAGCUUUCUUGUAAUAAGGACUAGAUCAUCAUUCUCUUCACUUUGUUUUUCUUCUUCAACUUCUUCUUCCUUAGUUGUAAUUUUGAGAGCUAUGCUCUUCUUCUUUUUGUCUUCGCCUUCUUGUAGCUUCUUUGCCAAAUUGAUCUCAUAUGUCAUUAAUGACCCUAUGAGCUCCUUCAUAAGUAGCUUGGUCAAGUCUUUUACUUCUUGAAUUGCGGUGACCUUUGUAUGCCACUUUGAUAAGAAUGACCUCAAUAUCUUCAUCACCUUUUCGGAUUCCUUGUAGCUCUUUCUCAAUGCUUCAAGACCAUUGAUAAUGUCGGUGAACCUAAUGAUCGUCUCAACAAUAGUCUCAUUUUCUUUUAUAAAAAACAUUUCAUAGCUAUGAACAAGUAAAUUGAUUUUUGACUCUUUCACUUGAUUUGUUCCUUCAUGAGUUAUUUCAAGCAAUCUCCAAAUUUCUUUAGCCGAUUUGCAUUGACAUAUUCUAUUAUAUUCAUUUCUAUCCAUAGCACAUUGCAAAGUGAAACGACAUUAGCAUUUAAUUGAAAAUUUCUUCUAUCAAGCUCAUUCCAUUCUUGCUUAGGUUUUGGAACCAUGACUUCAUCAACUAGUUUUGUAGGAAAAGUUGGGUUAUCUUCAAUGACGUCCCAUACGUCUAAAUCAGUUGAUUGUAAAUACCAAGUCAUUUUAGUUUUCCAAUAGGGAUAGUCGGUUCUCGUAAAAACUGGAGUUCUAUUUUUUGCAAAACUUUCAGUUUGAGAUGAACUUGAUGGAAUAACCAUUUCCUCUUAGACUAUUAAGUCUUAAACAAGAGGCCUAGCUCUGAUACCAAUUGAGAAAAUAAAGGAUAAUCUUAAAUGAGAAAAACACCCAAGAGGGGAGUGAAUUGGGUUUUUCAAAAACUUUUUCAACACAACAAAUUAAAGCACAAUAGAAGCAAAUAUAAUGAGAUAGAGUUAGAAAAUUCAAACUCAAAUUUUAUUAUAACAUCCCAAAAUUUAAUCUAACCGCAAAAUAGUAAUUUAUAAAGUAAUUAAUUAAUUAAUUAAAUUCAUUAAGAGUGAAAGAGUCCUUUUAAAAUUUAAAAAUCCUAGGUAUAAAUUAGACUUUCCUCUUACCUUCUUCAUUCAGAAAACCCUAUCAACUGGAAUUAGAGAAUUGAAGAUCGUAGGGCUCAAGGGUUAGAGGUUCAGAGUUUGAAGUUCAGAUUUUUCUAGGUAAGAUUCUAACCCUAAAUUAAUAUAUUAUAUUUGUUAGUUAGUUCUGAACACGCUAGAUUUCUUGGAGAAAAAAUUAAUUUAGAUCAGAGUUAGUUUAUUUAUUUAUUUUGUUUUAUUUGUUUUAAUAUCAAAAUAUUGGAAAUUUAGGAUUAUUGGUGGUUUUAUUGUUAGAAAUUGGGAAAUCUUAAGUUUUUGAAAAUAAUAAUAAUAAUGAUUCUCUGGAAGAUUUCAAUUAGGCUAGGGUUAAUCUAUUUAAAAUUUUUAGGUCAAAAUAUUGAAAUUAUGAAUAUAGGUUGUUCCAUUGAUGAUAAUAUGGAAAUUCAAAAUUUUCUUAGAUGAAUAGAUCUAAACAAUGAAAUUUUAAAAAUUAAAUGAGUAAAUAAAUGUAUUUUUAUAUGUGGCUUAAGGGAUUGAAAAUUAUUAUUAUUUUUUUUCAAAAGGGUGUGAUCUCUAUGUGUGCACAGUUCUAUAGAUUAGGAAAAAAAAAGGACGCGUGUGCAUUAGAGAAAGACUUUUACAAUAUAUAUAUAUAUAUAUAUAUAUAUAUAUGUAUGUAUAUAUGUAUAUAUAUAAUAUGGAGGCUUGGGUGUUGAGCAUGUGAGAAAGAAUGAGUAGGAAGGGAAAAAAUAAUAAUAAUAAAAUAAUAUUAAUAAUAAGGGAGAUAUGUACGGGGAGUGUGUUUGAUGGUUAAUAUAUAUAUAUAUAUAUAUUAUAUUAGUAAUUGAUUACUACUCAAAAAGUACUCUUUUCUAGCUUGAAACUAACCGUUUUAAACAUUUUUUAGUAGUAGUUAAUAUCUUUUAACUCAAUUGACACAUUAAGAAACCUAACAAGGGUUACUAAUCAGUUUUUGGCAAGUUUUGGUGUUUUUGGUAACUAUUUGAUCAUUGAAACAAGCCAAGAAUGAGAGAGAAUUUUGUGAAAUCCAUGGCAAUGCAAGUUGAAGCUCAAAUACAUGAAGAAUCCGAGCUUUGGAGCACUUCAUAGCCCUUUGCCAAGCUUGGCAAUAGGUUGCCAAGCCAAUUAGAUAUGCAAGGAAGAAAACCAAAGGAAGAAAUUCAACAACCAGCAUUUUCGCAUAACAUGCGAAAACUUAGAGGAAGAGCAGCUGCAGGACUGAGUGAAAGACAAUUUCACACACCCUGCGAAACCACAAGAGGCAACCAAAGAAUUUCUCACAUCAUGCGAAAUUUCGCAUGGUAUGCGAAAUAUUCUUGUGCACCGACUCCGUUAGAUUUUUAUCUCCAGAUAUUUUGUGUAAUUUCCUAUUUUCUCCUUGUAAUCAACCUAGAUAUUUUCUUUUAUAUCUUUUUAUAUUUUUUGGGUAACAUCUUUUAGAGAUAGGGAGGAAAAAAAAUGAAACACUUGUAAAAAUUCUCGUAGUAAGAAAUAUACAGAGCUUUUUGCUCUGCCUUUCUUUCUCAUUUUGUUUUCACUUUUCUUUCUAGCCAAACAACCUCUGAGGAUGAAUUCUCAGGGGAUGAGUGGCUAGGUUUUAUGUUUCUUGGAGUGAUGGAGGCUAGGUGAAAAACUCGAAUGCAAAGUGAGAGUUGUCCUUGCUUUAAAUGAAAGUAGUUGUUAACCAUUAAUGGUUCUUAUUUCAAGGUUUAACUUUAAAUCCCUUAAAAUCACCUUGAAUGACCAAUACUUGGUAAGCUUUUCAGAUUCUAUGGAUGCUUAUUGCUAGAUCCAUGGAUGUUCAUUAGUUAUUAUUUACGAGCCAUUGGAAGGUGGUUCAAGGUGAGGGUCUUUAGUGUUUGAAGCCAUUAAUGGGAAGAAAUUACCAUUUUUCAUGAACCCUUUGGAUCAAAUCUUAAUUGCUAAAUACAAAAACCAGUUCGGGAGAUAACCAUUCUUUAUGUUAUUGUCCCCAACGCGAGGAGAAGAUCCGGAAUCUCCCCCUUUGCCUAAGGAACCCGAUCCUAGUGACCUAAAGCUCUAAGAGACCUUUUCUUUGUAGUUAACUUCACUUAUUAUUUUUGCUUAACUUAAAAUCAAUCUUUGCAACCACAAUUCCAUUUUCUUUAAAAACUAAUUUUCAUAAGGAAAAGCACCAUUUUAUUUCCUUCACUAAAGUCAACUGUACGAUGAAAACCCAUCCCUGUGGACGAUCCUAGAGCCACUAUACUAUGUUGGCUAUGCUACCCUAGUGAAAGGUGAUUUAGGUUUUAUAAAUUUUGUUGAUAACACCCGUCUGGGCCAGAAUCAAAUGGCAUGACUGCAAUGGGGACGAAUCAAAUGGCGCAGUUAUCGGGGAUGGUGCCAAAGUACAUUGACAUGACCUUUGGUGAACACUUGUGAUCUUCAUCACAAGUUUGGUGAUUUUUCUUUUACUAAUUUUUUUUCUCUCUAUUUUAGCUUAUUUUUUAUUUAGUUUUUAGCCAACCUUAACUUUUUCCUAGAAUUGUAUUUCUUCUGUUUUCUUUGUUUUUGUUUCAGUGAUAUCUAGUUGUGCAUGCCCUAUUGGAUACGAGAUAUUGAGGGAAGAUUUGUGAAGAUUGAAACUCCUCGAGAAACUAAGUUGGAAGUGUGCUUGAACAUCAUGGAUGUUCCACCUAAAGACCAAAAUAGCCAACAUGGUCAAGAGGAUGAUUUCAAUGCAUACCGAUCCAUGAGGGACCGCAUGCAUCCACCUUGUAUGAGUGCACCGUCAUGCAUAGUGCCUCCCACUAAGUAGCUAGUAAUUCGACCUCACAUUGUGCCACUCCUACCUACUUUCCAUGGGAUGGAAAGUGAAAAUCCCUACUCGCAUAUUAAGGAAUUCGAGGAGGUUUGUAAUACAUUCCAAGAAGAAGGAGCUUCAAUUGACUUGAUGAGGCUCAAGUUAUUUCCUUUUACCUUGAAGGAUAAGGCCAAGAUUUGGCUCAAUUCUCUAAGGCCAAGGAGUAUCCGAACUUGGACUGAUUUUCAAGCCGAGUUUCUCAAGAAGUUCUUCCCUACUCAUAUGACCAAUGGUUUGAAAAGGCAAAUUUCGAACUUCUCAGCUAAGGAGAAUGAGAAAUUCUAUGAGUGUUGGGAGAGGUACAUGGAAGCUAUUAAUGCUUGUCCUUACCAUGGCUUUGACACAUGGCUCUUAGUGAGUUAUUUUUACAAUGGUAUGUUUUCUUCAAUGAAGUAACUCCUAGAAACUAUGUGUGGAGGAGACUUCAUGAGUAAGAAUCCGGAGGAAGCCAUGGACUUUUUGAGUUAUAUGGCUGAAGUUUCAAGAGGAUGGGAUGAACCAAAUGCUAGAGAGGUGGGAAGAAUGAAGUCUCAACCUAAUGCUAAGGGUGAUAUGUAUGUUUUGAAUGAAGACAUUGACAUGAAGGCAAAGGUUGCAGCUAUGGCAAGGAGAUUGGAAGAGCUAGAAAUGAAGAAGGUACAAGAAGUGCAAGCCAUUUCUGAGACAUCAGUGCCAGCUAUGCCUUGUUCCAUUUGUCAAUCUUUUGAGCACUUGGUGGAGGAGUGUCCUACCAUUCCAGUAGUGAGAGAGAUGUUUGGUGAUCAAGCAAAUGUUAUUGGUCAAUUCAAGCCCAAUAACAAUGCUUCAUAUGGCAACACCUACAAUUCAAAUUGGAGGAACCAUCCAAAUUUCUCUUGGAAACCAAAGCCACCUCAGUACACACAACCUACUUAAGCACCUGAGCAAGCCUCGAAUCUUGAACAAGCUAUUGUGAACCUUAGUAAGGUUGUGGAAGACUUUGUGGGAGAUCAGAAGUCCAUCAAUGCUCAAUUGAAUCGGAGAAUUGACAGUGUGGAUAGUACAUUGAACAAAAGGAUGGAUGAGAUGCAAUAUGAUCUGUCUCAAAAGAUAGACAAUGUCCAAUACGCAAUCUCAAGGCUUACCAACCUCAACAUAGUGCAAGAGAAAAGAAAGUUUCCUUCUCAACCUCAUCAAAAUCCGAAGGGUAUCCAUGAAAUGGAGACUCAAGAAGGAAAAUCUUCAAAUGUGAGGGAAGUCAAAGCAGUUAUCACCUUGAGGAGUGGUAAAGAGGUUGAUCAACCCACAUCCAAGCCAAAACAUGAUGAAGAGAGUGUAGCAGAAAAAGAAAAAAGUGAGGAAAUUAAAGGAAAGAGAAAAGGGAAAAGUACAAAGAAAGAUGACCAUGAUUCUACUGUUGAUGAAGAACCCGAGAGGAUAGUCAUCAAGGAAGAUAUGAUGAAGAAACACAUGCCUCCACCUUUCCCUCAAGCUUUGCAUGGCAAAAAGGAAAUCAAUAAUGCAUCAGAAAUUUUUGAAGUGUUGAGGCAAGUGAAGGUCAAUAUCCCUUUGCUAGACAUGAUUAAACAAGUGCCGACAUAUGCAAAAUUCUUGAAGGACUAGUGCACUGUAAAAAGAGGGUUGGAUGUGAACAAGAAAACCUUCUUGACCGAGCAAGUGAGUGCCAUCAUACAGUGCAAGUCUCCAGUGAAGUACAAAGAUCCGAGCUAUCCUACCAUCUCAGUGAGUAUUGGAGGGACUUGUGUGGAGAAAGCUUUGUUGGACUUGGGAGCAAGUGUGAAUUUGCUACCCUACUCUGUCUACGAGCAGUUGGGACUUGGAGAGUUGAAGUCAACAUCCAUCACUCUAUUUCUGGCAGAUAGAUCAGUGAAGAUUCCAAGAGGGAUGAUCAAAGAUGUCUUGGUUCGAGUUGACAAAUUCUACUAUCCAGUGGAUUUAGUUGUUCUUGAUACAGAUCCGGUUGUCAAAGGAACUAAUUAUGUUCCUAUCAUACUUGGAAGACCAUUCCUAACUACAUCAAAUGCAAUCAUCAAUUGUAGGAAUGGAGUCAUGCAACUCACGUUUGGCAACAUGACAUUAGAGCUCAACAUCUUCCAUUUGUACAAGAAGCAUAUCCAUCCAGAAGAAGGAGAAGGUCCAAAGGAAGUGUGCAUGAUUGACACUUCAUUUGUUUUUUUAUUUAUUUUGGAUUUUAUGGAGUUGGUUAAGUGAUUGUAGAAUUGGAAAGUUGAGCAAGAUUAUUCAAACAUUGAAAGUUUUCUAUAGAGGUUGAUAAUCAAAGGAACAAUCAAUCUUUCAUAUGGUUAAGGAAACUUAGAAAAAGAGGAUUUAAAAAAUUUAAAUAUAAAAAUGAAAAUGACCGAUUAUUUUGAAAAAAAAAAAUAAUUAUGACAAAAAAAAUUUAGAGAAAAUUAUCUACUAGUUUAGGGUUAUUUAUUUAUUUAUAUUUAUAUUUAAUAAUAAAAAUGUUAUUAUAUAUAUAACAAGGUUGAAAUAGAAAAUUCGAUGUAUUAAGUAAUAGGUAUUUUAUUUUAUUUUAUUUUUAUGAAUUUCAAUAAAGAUUAAAAAAUAAAUAGCACAAAAAGUAAUCAAUUUUGAAAACUUGUAAUAAAAAAAUUAUAUUUUUAUUUUUGAAAAAACAUUUGAUAAUUAAAAUUUGGAGAAAUUAGGGAAGGCAAGUAGAAGGUUGUUGUCUCUGGCUCUCACCACAUUAUUUUUCGCAAGGUGAUUCCACUUUGAGGGCUCUCUCAUUCUCUCUUAGUUCUCACUCUCCGACCUUGCGAGCCGAGCGACUCAACCCUUCCCACCAUGCUGCGCCAAGCCACACGCCUCCUGGCUCGACCUGCCAUCGCCUCCUCCUCCUCCUUCGCCGCCAGGGCUCGCUCCUUCUCCACCGAUCUCCCCACCGCUCCGGCUGAAGAUUCCACCUUCAUCGAUGCCUGGAAGAAAAUCAUUCCAAAUAUUGACCCACCCGCAACCCCUCUCACUUUCAUGCAACCUCGACCACAGACUCCCUCUUCCAUUCCUUCUAAGCUCACGGUCAACUUCGUUCUUCCUUAUGCCUCUGAGCUCUCCGCCAAGGAGGUCAGUCCCAGUGAACCCGAACCCCCUUUCUGAUUUGGGAUUUACUUGGAUUUGUCGUUGAUUGGUUGUUUUAGGGUUUGGCUUUGUUUGAUCUGAUUGUGGGUGGCAUUUGUUCUGGUGGGGAAUUUGGUUUUUGUUGUAGAUUUGAUGAUUCCGAAAACAAUUUUAGGUUUUUAUGUGAAAACCCCAUUUUCCCCAAAUGGGUGAUUAGGGUUGUGCAUUAUUCACAUUUAUGAGAAAUCUCUGUAAAAUUUUAGGUUCGGGACUAAGAAAUGCUAUAUAUCGUGAGAGAUUAUUUUGCAAAUAUUUAAAUACUACGCGAUUUUGUCUUAGGGUUGGUUGCGUUUGAUUUACCUGUGGUUGAUAUUUGGUAUUGAAGCGUGGUUUAUGGUUUUUUUGCUUGAUGCGGGAAAUUGGGUUUUAAGAAGUUUGGAUUUCUUGUACUUCUGAUGGUUCAAAAAACUUGGAUUUUUGUGUGAAAAUCUAAUUUUUUUUUUUGAAAAAGUGGUUAGUGGUGGAUUGAUAUGGGAAAUUGAGUUUUGAAGGCUUUUGAUAUCAAGUUUGAAGUUCUUGUGGUUUUGGUUUCAAACAGAUUUACACUUCUUCCUGUGAAAAUCCAAUUUCUGUCGAAGGGUUAUCAGGGUUUUACAGAAUGCUUGUUUGUCCCCAAGUUAAUUGAAAUGACGCAUUGAUUUUAGGCUGUUAAUUUGGUUAAUGGUUUUUGAUAUUGUAGAUUGAUGUGGGGAAUUGGGUUUUGAGGGUCUGGGCAGUUGUUCUUAGUUCUAGUCUAGGAGAUAAGGAUUUGCCACAAUUUUGGUGAAAGGUUACAGUACUUCAUACCCAUAUGGUUAUGCCGGACCUAGUGGUUGUGCUCUAAGUAUUAGAUUGAGUUUUUGUGUGUGUGUGUGUUUUAAUUUUUUCCCCUUUUUCAAUGUAGACCUCCUGUGUACUAGGUGUGCCCAAUGUCCAUAUGGCUCAAUGUCCUCAUUGGUUUUUCUACAGGCAUAAUUGAUCUUGUUUAUAGUUUAUUGUCAUUAUGCAUGUUUGGGUAAAUUUAAUUCCUUUUCAAGGUUUAGGAUCGUGUUAUAGUUUUUUAGACAGAUUCAUGCCUUUAAUCUUGAUUCAGUCACGAUGUUGAGUGUGAAUCCAAUAUGUUUUAUUUCCUGAAAGACUUAUGAGUUUGUGGUUGGACACUAUAUCUGGAAAUAUGAGAAUGUGAGAUGUGGCUAGUCUACUCCAGCUACAGUGAUUUUAAGCUUUAUCAUUUUGAUUAAUCAACAAGACCGCUUUUGCAUUGAUGUCCUACAAUGCAAUUGCUAUGAUAAAAAGUUCAUGGGGGCAUUUUGUAUGUUCAAUAGAUAUGCUGCAGAUAAUGAUGGUUUUUUUUUUCUUUCCCUCUGCUGUACUUUCUUCUGGCUGCUAUAUAGUUAGUUCUUUAGUUACAUCUCAAUGUUUGAUAUCAUUUGGUCAACAAUUGGGUUAUUGGGGCUCAAUUUGGGUUUCCUUAUUUGAGUCACAGACACAUGGGAUGUGAGAGAAGAGUCCCUAAAACUGGAAAUCAAAUGCUGGAUGUUGGUGUUAUAUUUUGUAGAUUGUUCUUUUUAAAAGUGAUUUAGUUGAUGUUAGAUUAGCGUCUGCCAGUCAUAUCCCUUUGAUUCACAAGAUUUUUUUGUAGUUCAUUGGAGUCUGUGUGAAUGGAUUAACAUGUUUUUUGGUUGCCAUGAUUUCUUUUUCAGAUUUUUAGCUUUCUUUUCAUUAGUUACUACAUCUAUUCUUUUGUUAGUUUAGUGUUUUCUUUGCUCUCUCUGAACUGAGGAUCUCUUCUCAUGGUCAUAAACUUUCUCAAGCCUAUUUGAAGUCCAACCUCUACAGUUCACUUGUGGAUUAUUGGAUUUUAAUCAACUUGAGUUUUAAAUGAUUCAUUGGGUGGUUAUGCCUAUAUUUGGGUGGGUUUGCUCGAACAUUUUUUAGUUUGCUUAUAUCUUGAUCAGUGUUGGCUUCUAUAUAUAUAGAUUGUACCUUUAUUUGUGGGUUUACUCAUACAUUUUUUUGCUCAUACAGGUGUGUGUGUGUGUGUAGGGUCUGCUCACAUAUUGAUAGGUUUGUGAAGAUUGUAUUCUAUAGCUUCUUCUAUUCCUCGUACAUUUUAAAUUAAUCUCAUGGGUUUCUGAUUAAAAGUUUUCUAGAUAUGUGAAGUAAUUAUGAAAUAGAAAACUAAAAGUUGAGGUUGGAAAGAUAAGGGUUAGUUCAUUCUAUCAUUUGAAUGAAGCAACUAAACAAGGUCUAUUAUUGUUAUCAUCGAGUAUUUCCUUACAAAAGCCCUUCCUUCUAUGCCUACUAGUUUUGUUUCUUUGGUUUUUUUCUUCUAUUGAAUAUUUAUUUUAGUUUUUCUGCAACAGUAAUGUGGCACUAUCAGAGUGCCCCAUCACACUCUUGCUAGGAGGGGAACCUGUCCCUAAGUGGCCACAUACUCUGAGGCACCAUGAGAGCAUGUGGGUCUGAGAUGGGGGACUAUGGAUUUGGAACUUGGCUGGUUCCCAACCAUACUUUGCUAAUUCGUAGCAGUGUGAGAUAUUAAUUAUGAGGAUUAGGGGGUUUUAAGGGGAAAUAUGUCGAAUCCUAGCUCUUGUAAUGCCACAGGUUGGGCCCAUUGGGGUAUAAAAUCCUAGCUCAGCCUCAACUUGUUUACGAGUAAUGGUAUCCGAUCUAAUUAGAUGAGUGGUGGGGCAGGGUGAGUCAGCCUAUUUUCUCAGUGCCAUUGAUUGUGAGUGUCAUUAUGAGUAAAAGAAUAGUAUGGCAGAUAAUGCCAGAUUUUAAAAUAUCUAAAGGAUAAGAUAACCAUUAUCUUGUUGGUUUUGGUUUGUGGGGGUGUUUAAAAAGGUGAUGAUAACCAUUAAAACUACCUCAUUCUUGAGAUCCUAAUGCAUUGGUAUAAAAAAAAAUAAAAAAAUAAAAAAAUAGCUGAUUUGAAAUGCUUUGCAAUAGAAAUGGGAUACCUGCAUUUCCUGUGAUGAUAUCGUGCUGUCCUAAGUAAAUUUUGAAAUUUGAAAAGAGAGAGUGAAUUAGACGUAGGAAGUGAUUCUGGGGUUAAGUAAUAUGGUUAGUUAACUAAGCUAAAGAUCUAUUGCUGUUAUUUCUAACAUUCUGCUGGGUGUGUGUUUUUACAGGUUGACAUGGUUAUUAUACCGGCAACUACUGGACAGAUGGGUGUUCUCCCUGGACAUGUAGCCACAAUUGCAGAGCUGAAACCUGGGGUCAUGUCAGUGCAUGAAGGAAAUGAUGUGACAAAGUAUUUCAUUAGCAGCGGCUUUGCAGUCAUCC